CUUUCAACAACGGAUCUCUUGGUUNUGGCAUCGAUGAAGAACGCAGNGAAAUGCGAUAAGUAAUGUGAAUNGCAGAAUUCAGUGAAUCAUNGAAUCUUNGAACGCACAUUGCGCCCCUUGGUAUUCCGAGGGGCAUGCCUGUUCGAGCGUCAUU
rnacentral:rRNA from 1 species